rnacentral:rRNA from 1 species
UACGUAGGUGACCAGCGUUGUCCGGAUUUACUGGGCGUAAAGAGCGCGCAGGCGGUCGUUCAAGUCGAGUGUGAAAGCCCCCGGCUCAACUGGGGAGGGUCAUUCGAUACUGAUCGACUCGAAGGCAGGAGAGGGAAGCGGAAUUCCCGGUGUAGUGGUGAAAUGCGUAGAUAUCGGGAGGAACACCAGUGGCGAAGGCGGCUUCCUGGCCUGUACUUGACGCUGAGGCGCGAAAGCUAGGGGAGCAAACGGG